rnacentral:lncRNA from 1 species
GGGAGUGGCCCUCUCCUGUGCCGGGCUAAAAGUUGGGGGCUCCCGUUCAGGCCCCCAUUUUCUUAAGCGUUUCAAGCCAACCUUGGUAAAGAAAGGAAUUUAUGAGCUAUUUGGGAAGACAGAACCUCAUGGGAAGCUGCGCAGAAGUCUUCUACAUAGUGAAAGGGGAGACCAGGGUCCAGAAACCACUGGCCCAGCUCUGUGGACCUGCCUGGCCGCCCCUCCAGGAGAACCAAGGUGGCUUCAUUCUCCACAUACCACUCUGCUUCCUGGAUGAGUAACGAGUAUGUGGUUGCUUAAGUCAGUAUUGCUCAGUCAUUUCGGAUUUGUUCUCAAAAGAGCUCAAAGAAACGCUGGGAAGAAACAAAUCACAUUUCACAUUUAAAGAAUUCUUAUGUUGACACUUUACAUUAAGAGAAUCACUGCAACAGACUGUUUUCCUUACCACAUCCCUGUUAGCUACUCCUUCUGCUGAGGAGCUAUGACAACAGCCAGCUACUUGCUUAUUUCAUUACAUGGAGAGUUGGCUGCAACUUCUUCAUACACAAACAUGAGCAGGACACUAUGGUGUUUAUAACUGAAAGAAAAAUCCCACUGGAAAGGUGAAGUUCAGGCUGGCAUGAACUACACAGCAAGACCUUAUCUCGUAAAACUCUUUUUGAUGUUGCUGCUGUUUUGUUUUUUUCUUUUUCUUUUGGUUUUAUUUUAUUUGUUUGUUUGUUUAUUUGUUUAUUUAUUUAUCUAUUUAUUUUUGAGACUAACUAUAUAUAGUUCAGGCUGGCCUUGAAUUCACUAUGUAGCCCAGGCUGGCCUCAAACUUGCAGCAAUCCUCCUGCCUAUUCCUCCCAAGUACUGAAACUAUAGGUGGGUGCUAUUUCUCUUGGUUUAUCAAAAUCAAUGGUGGGCUGGGUAUUUAGAUCAGUGGUUCUGCUGCCUGCCUUGCAAGCUCAAGGACCCGAGUUUGAUUCCCGGUACCAAAAAAAAAAAAAAAAAAAAAAAAAAAAAAAAAA